rnacentral:rRNA from 1 species
UUGUAGUCUGCAACCCGACUACAUGAGGCCGGAAUCGCUAGUAAUCGCGAAUCAGAAUGUCGCGGUGAAUACGUUCCCGGGUCUUGUACACACCGCCCGUCACACCAUGGGAGCCGGAAAUGCCCGAAGUCAGUGGCCCAACCUUAAAGGAGGGAGCUGCCGAAGGUGGAGCUGGUAACUGGGGUGAAGUCGUAACAAGGUAAC